AAAACAUCGCCUCCUGCAAAAAUCAAUGUAUAGGAGGUCCUACCUGCCCAGUGACUAAGUUAAACGGCCGCGGUAUUCUGACCGUGCAAAGGUAGCGCAAUCACUUGUCUUUUAAAUAGAGACCCGUAUGAAUGGUGAAACGAGGGCUUAACUGUCUCCCUCUUCUAAUCAGUGAAAUUGAUCUACCCGUGCAGAAGCGGGUAUAAAUAUACAAGACGAGAAGACCCUAUGGAGCUUAAGACAUAAGUCACCUGAGUAAAACACCCUAAUAAAAGGAAUAAAACAUUACAGUAGUUGACUAGCGUCUUCGGUUGGGGCGACCACGGGGGAAAACAAAUCCCCCAUGUGGAAGGGGUAAAUCCCUAAAACCAUGAGGCACACCUCUAAGUCACAGAACUUCUGACCAAAAGAUCCGGCACUCAGCCGAUCAACGAACCAAGUUACCCUAGGGAUAACAGCGCAAUCCUCUUCAAGAGUUCUUAUCGACAAGAGGGCUUACGACCUCGAUGUUGGAUCAGGACAUCCUAAUGGUGCAGCCGCUAUUAAGGGUUCGUUUGUUCAACGAUUAAAGUCCUACGUGAUCUG
rnacentral:rRNA from 1 species